ACAGUGGUGGUUCAAUGGUAGAAUUCUCGCCUUCCAUGCAAGAGACCAGGGCUUGAUUCCCAGCCAUGCA
rnacentral:tRNA from 1 species